UUAAGUUAUUAAGGGCGCACGGUGGAUGCCUUGGCACGAGAAGCCAAUGAAGGACGUUACUACCGACGAUAUGCUUUGGGGAGCUGUAAGUAAGCUUUGAUCCAGAGAUUUCCGAAUGGGGAAACCCAGCAUGAGUUAUGUCAUGUUAUCGAUAUGUGAAUACAUAGCAUAUCAGAAGGCACACCCGGAGAACUGAAACAUCUUAGUACCCGGAGGAAGAGAAAGAAAAUUCGAUUCCCUUAGUAGCGGCGAGCGAAACGGGAAGAGCCCAAACCAACAAGCUUGCUUGUUGGGGUUGUAGGACACUCUAUACGGAGUUACAAAGGACGACAUUAGACGAAUCAUCUGGAAAGAUGAAUCAAAGAAGGUAAUAAUCCUGUAGUCGAAAAUGUUGUCUCUCUUGAGUGGAUCCUGAGUACGACGGAGCACGUGAAAUUCCGUCGGAAUCUGGGAGGACCAUCUCCUAAGGCUAAAUACUCUCUAGUGACCGAUAGUGAACCAGUACCGUGAGGGAAAGGUGAAAAGCACCCCGGAAGGGGAGUGAAAUAGAACCUGAAACCGUGUGCUUACAAGUAGUCAGAGCCCGUUAAUGGGUGAUGGCGUGCCUUUUGUAGAAUGAACCGGCGAGUUACGAUUUGAUGCAAGGUUAAGCAGUAAAUGUGGAGCCGUAGCGAAAGCGAGUCUGAAUAGGGCGUUUAGUAUUUGGUCGUAGACCCGAAACCAGGUGAUCUACCCUUGGUCAGGUUGAAGUUCAGGUAACACUGAAUGGAGGACCGAACCGACUUACGUUGAAAAGUGAGCGGAUGAACUGAGGGUAGCGGAGAAAUUCCAAUCGAACCUGGAGAUAGCUGGUUCUCUCCGAAAUAGCUUUAGGGCUAGCCUCAAGUGAUGAUUAUUGGAGGUAGAGCACUGUUUGGACGAGGGGCCCCUCUCGGGUUACCGAAUUCAGACAAACUCCGAAUGCCAAUUAAUUUAACUUGGGAGUCAGAACAUGGGUGAUAAGGUCCGUGUUCGAAAGGGAAACAGCCCAGACCACCAGCUAAGGUCCCAAAAUAUAUGUUAAGUGGAAAAGGAUGUGGCGUUGCCCAGACAACUAGGAUGUUGGCUUAGAAGCAGCCAUCAUUUAAAGAGUGCGUAAUAGCUCACUAGUCGAGUGACACUGCGCCGAAAAUGUACCGGGGCUAAACAUAUUACCGAAGCUGUGGAUUGUCCUUUGGACAAUGGUAGGAGAGCGUUCUAAGGGCGUUGAAGCAUGAUCGUAAGGACAUGUGGAGCGCUUAGAAGUGAGAAUGCCGGUGUGAGUAGCGAAAGACGGGUGAGAAUCCCGUCCACCGAUUGACUAAGGUUUCCAGAGGAAGGCUCGUCCGCUCUGGGUUAGUCGGGUCCUAAGCUGAGGCCGACAGGCGUAGGCGAUGGAUAACAGGUUGAUAUUCCUGUACCACCUAUAAUCGUUUUAAUCGAUGGGGGGACGCAGUAGGAUAGGCGAAGCGUGCGAUUGGAUUGCACGUCUAAGCAGUAAGGCUGAGUAUUAGGCAAAUCCGGUACUCGUUAAGGCUGAGCUGUGAUGGGGAGAAGACAUUGUGUCUUCGAGUCGUUGAUUUCACACUGCCGAGAAAAGCCUCUAGAUAGAAAAUAGGUGCCCGUACCGCAAACCGACACAGGUAGUCAAGAUGAGAAUUCUAAGGUGAGCGAGCGAACUCUCGUUAAGGAACUCGGCAAAAUGACCCCGUAACUUCGGGAGAAGGGGUGCUCUUUAGGGUUAACGCCCAGAAGAGCCGCAGUGAAUAGGCCCAAGCGACUGUUUAUCAAAAACACAGGUCUCUGCUAAACCGUAAGGUGAUGUAUAGGGGCUGACGCCUGCCCGGUGCUGGAAGGUUAAGAGGAGUGGUUAGCUUCUGCGAAGCUACGAAUCGAAGCCCCAGUAAACGGCGGCCGUAACUAUAACGGUCCUAAGGUAGCGAAAUUCCUUGUCGGGUAAGUUCCGACCCGCACGAAAGGCGUAACGAUUUGGGCACUGUCUCAACGAGAGACUCGGUGAAAUCAUAGUACCUGUGAAGAUGCAGGUUACCCGCGACAGGACGGAAAGACCCCGUGGAGCUUUACUGUAGCCUGAUAUUGAAAUUCGGCACAGCUUGUACAGGAUAGGUAGGAGCCUUUGAAACGUGAGCGCUAGCUUACGUGGAGGCGCUGGUGGGAUACUACCCUAGCUGUGUUGGCUUUCUAACCCGCACCACUUAUCGUGGUGGGAGACAGUGUCAGGCGGGCAGUUUGACUGGGGCGGUCGCCUCCUAAAAGGUAACGGAGGCGCUCAAAGGUUCCCUCAGAAUGGUUGGAAAUCAUUCAUAGAGUGUAAAGGCAUAAGGGAGCUUGACUGCGAGACCUACAAGUCGAGCAGGGUCGAAAGACGGACUUAGUGAUCCGGUGGUUCCGCAUGGAAGGGCCAUCGCUCAACGGAUAAAAGCUACCCCGGGGAUAACAGGCUUAUCUCCCCCAAGAGUUCACAUCGACGGGGAGGUUUGGCACCUCGAUGUCGGCUCAUCGCAUCCUGGGGCUGUAGUCGGUCCCAAGGGUUGGGCUGUUCGCCCAUUAAAGCGGUACGCGAGCUGGGUUCAGAACGUCGUGAGACAGUUCGGUCCCUAUCCGUCGUGGGCGUAGGAAAUUUGAGAGGAGCUGUCCUUAGUACGAGAGGACCGGGAUGGACAUACCUCUGGUGUACCAGUUGUCGUGCCAACGGCAUAGCUGGGUAGCUAUGUGUGGACGGGAUAAGUGCUGAAAGCAUCUAAGCAUGAAGCCCCCCUCAAGAUGAGAUUUCCCAACUUCGGUUAUAAGAUCCCUCAAAGAUGAUGAGGUUAAUAGGUUCGAGGUGGAAGCAUGGUGACAUGUGGAGCUGACGAAUACUAAUCGAUCGAAGACUUAAUCAA
rnacentral:rRNA from 1 species